rnacentral:rRNA from 1 species
CCUACGUGAGGCAGCAGUGAGGAAUAUUGGUCAAUGGGCGGAAGCCUGAACCAGCCAAGUAGCGUGCAGGAUGACGGCCCUACGGGUUGUAAACUGCUUUUAUACGGGAAUAACGCGCCUUACGUGUAGGGCUUUGCAUGUACCUUAUGAAUAAGGACCGGCUAAUUCCUUGCCAGCAGCCGCGGUAAUACGGAGGGUCCGGGCGUUAUCCGGAUUUAUUUGGUUUAAAGGGAGCGUAGGCCGCAUGUCAAGCGUGCUGUGAAAUGUUCGGGCUCAACCCGGGCCUUGCAGCGCGAACUGGCGUGCUUGAGUCAGCGGAAAGCAGGCGGAAUUCGUCGUGUAGCGGUGAAAUGAUUAGAUAUGACGAAGAACCCCGAUUGCGAAGGCAGCUUGCUGCAGCGGAACUGACGCUGAUGCUCGAAAGCGCGGGUAUCGAACAGGAUUAGAUACCCGAGUAGUC